rnacentral:rRNA from 1 species
CAAACGACUCUYGGCAACGGAUAUCUCGGCUCACGCAUCGAUGAAGAACGUAGCAAAAUGCGAUACUUGGUGUGAAUUGCASAAUCCCGUGAACCAUCGAGUUUUUGAACGCAWGUUGCGCCCAAAGCCAUCCGGCCGAGGGCACGCCUGCCUGGGCGUCACGC